CCUACGAGGGGCAGCAGUGAGGAAUAUUGGUCAAUGGACGAGAGUCUGAACCAGCCAAGUAGCGUGAAGGAUGACUGCCCUAUGGGUUGUAAACUUCUUUUAUAUGGGAAUAAAACAGGGUAUGCAUACCCUCUUGUAUGUACCAUAUGAAUAAGGAUCGGCUAACUCCGUGCCAGCAGCCGCGGUAAUACGGAGGGUCCGAGCGUUAUCCGGAUUUAUUGGGUUUAAAGGGAGCGUAGGUGGAUUUUUAAGUCAGUUGUGAAAGUUUGCGGCUCAACCGUAAAAUUGCAAUUGAAACUGGCAGUCUUGAGUACAGUAGAGGUUGGCGGAAUUCGUGGUGUAGCGGUGAAAUGCUUAGAUAUCACGAAGAACUCCGAUUGCGAAGGCAGCUCACUGGACUGCAACUGACACUGAUGCUCGAAAGUGUGGGUAGCAAACAGGAUUAGAUACCCGAGUAGUC
rnacentral:rRNA from 1 species